rnacentral:rRNA from 1 species
GACGAACGCUGGCGGCGUGCCUAAUACAUGCAAGUCGAGCGCAGGAAGCCGUCUGAACCCUUCGGGGAGACGACGGCGGAAUGAGCGGCGGACGGGUGAGUAACACGUAAAGAACCUGCCCACGGGUCUGGGAUAACCACGAGAAAUCGGGGCUAAUACCGGACGGGUCAUCGGACCGCAUGGUCCGAGGAUGAAAGGCGCUCCGGCGUCGCCCGUGGAUGGCUUUGCGGUGCAUUAGCUAGUUGGUGGGGUAACGGCCCACCAAGGCGACGAUGCAUAGCCGACCUGAGAGGGUGAUCGGCCACACUGGGACUGAGACACGGCCCAGACUCCUACGGGAGGCAGCAGUAGGGAAUCUUCCACAAUGGACGAAAGUCUGAUGGAGCAACGCCGCGUGAACGAUGAAGGCCCUCGGGUCGUAAAGUUCUGUUGUAAGGGAAGAACAAGUGCCGCAGGCAAUGGCGGCACCUUGACGGUACCUUGCGAGAAAGCCACGGCUAACUACGUGCCAGCCGCCGCAGUAAAAC